GGAUUUUCAGAAAGAGAUUGUUAAGGCAGCUGAAACAUUUACAGCUAUAGGAUACAAGCAUAUAGAAGCAGGAACUAAAUUAUCAGAAGAUUGCUGCAAAUAUGGAGUCGAAAAUCCCAAUGACGAGGUGUUAGCUAAGGCUGCUUCUAUUUACGGCGAUGCUCGUAAACAUGCAGAGAAGGAGGUUGAAGAUCUAAAUAAACUAUUCUUCAGUCAGGUACUGGAACCAUUGAGAGCUAUGGUAGCUGGUUCUCCCUUAGAGGAUGCUCGUCAUCUAGCUCAGCGCUACAGUAAAAUGAGGCAAGAGGCGGAGAUACAGGCAACCGAAGUUUCUAGAAGACAAGCUCGAGUGAGGGAAGCUCCCAUCCCGGAGAAUGUGGCAAAGCUGCACGCAGCAGAAACUAAAAUGCAGGAACUCAAAGCCAACAUGACAGUACUCGGUAAAGAAGCAGCAGCAGCAUUAGCUGCUGUAGAAUCACAGCAGGAGAGGC
rnacentral:misc_RNA from 1 species